rnacentral:rRNA from 1 species
UACGGAGGGGGCUAGCGUUGUUCGGAAUUACUGGGCGUAAAGGGCGCGUAGGCGGUCUUGUAAGUCCCGUGUGAAAUCCCUCGGCUCAACUGAGGAACUGCACGGGAAACUGCUUGGCUUGAGUUCGGGAGAGGGAAGCGGAAUUCCGGGUGUAGCGGUGAAAUGCGCAGAUAUCAGGAGGAACACCGGUGGCGAAGGCGGGUCUCGUGGGCCGUAACUGACGCUGGAGGAGCGAAAGCGUGGGGAGCGAACAGGA